rnacentral:rRNA from 1 species
AGCAGCCGCGGUAAUUCCAGCUCCAAUAGCGUAUAUUAAAGUUGUUGCAGUUAAAAAGCUCGUAGUUGAAUUUCGAGAUCAAAUUGUUGGUCGUGCCUCGGUACGUACUGGCAUUAUUGAUUUCUCCCUUCUGAAGAACCACGAUGUCAUUAAUUUGGUGUCGUGGGGAAUCAGGACUGUUACUUUGAAAAAAUUAGAGUGUUUAAAGCAGGCUCACGCUUGAAUACAUUAGCAUGGAAUAAUGAAAUAGGACGUUUGAUUCUAUUUUGUUGGUUUCUAGGAUCGACGUAAUGAUUAAUAGGGAUAGUUGGGGGCAUUAGUAUUCAAUUGUCAGAGGUGAAAUUCUUGGAUUUAUUGAAGACUAACUACUGCGAAAGCAUUUGCCAAGGAUGUUUUCAUUAAUCAAGAACGAAAGUUAGGGGAUCGAAGACGAUCAGAUACCGUCGUAGUCUUAACCAUAAACUAUGCCGACUAGGGAUCG